UAUGUACUCCUUCCGUAUGGAAUUAGUUGUCUUGGAUAUGGAUGUAUCUAGAACUAAAAUAUGUCUAGAUACAUCCAUUUCUGUGACAAGUAAUUCCAAACGGAGGGAGUAGUCA
rfam:Triticum urartu cultivar G1812 contig588340, whole genome shotgun sequence.